rnacentral:lncRNA from 1 species
UAUAUUAUUUCUCGUUUAUUCUCAGGACAUGCUUGGAAUAUCUCUUAUAGUAUAUCAUUUCUUGUAAAUUCUCAGAACAUACUAUUUAAGUACGCAGAAGUAGGAUCAAUCUAUAACAACGCCAUCUGAGAUAUACAUAACCUCUGUAUUGCCGGUACCUGUCUUAGUGCCAAAAAGCCGCGACAGAUAUUGGCUGUAGGCACAUUAAAAAUUACAUAAAGAAAAAAGGUACCUGUCUUUUCCGUUUUCGCAUGGCGUGCCACAGUUUCGUGUUGUCAGUGUCACGUGUUGCUGUCCGUGUAGAUUAUCCGAGUUUUGCCACUUUUGCAGUUAUAUAGCCAUAAAUAAGUCUACUCUCUAAAGUCUGCUCUCUUGUGUAGGCACACGCAUUGCUGGGACACAAAGUUUAUAGUAACUUUUGCCACUUUUGCAGUUAUAUAGCCAUAAAUAAUGAUGUCAUGUGAUAUUUUGAAUGUCUUUAAUUGUCAAUCAUUUGUGUUUGCAUUAUAAAUACAUGUACGUGUGCAUUAUAUUCUACACUUUGUAAAUAAAUAAAAUUGAUUUAUAACAUGUAAAUAAAGAGUUACAAAUUAAUACAACCUAAAAAAAUCAAUAUAAUCUUUAUAUAUAUGAACGCACGUACCUGGCUGUAUGAUAUACUAUUUACAUACUAUACAUAUUCUGUUCAUAUACUACAAGAUAUUACCAGUAGAUUCUAAGAACCAGAAUAGGCGGACAUAGGAACUUUCUCAGCAUGUUCUUAGCAUAUCGUAGUACGUAUCUCGAAUGUUCUGAGAAUAUACGCAACAUACUGUUGCGAUAUUCUCAGAACAUUCUCAGUAUCUACGGCUGCAUUCGUUUACGCAGUAGUUAGUGCAUCCACUGCGUAUCUCAUCUGCUGAUCACGUGACAUAAUUUGCCGAACGCACUCCUGCGUGAACGGCUGCGCGUGUGCGGAUUGGUGCGGAGUGUUUUGGAGCGCUUCAAAUGGGACUUUCGGUUGCGUUUCGCCUAAAUGGAAGCAGUUUUACGUUCGUUUAUGCAACACUGCAAGCAGAGCAUCCAGAGCAGUACCUCUGAAGUAGCUGCGCAGAUGGGAUAUAUCUCUGCAUAAACGAAUGACAAACUGCGCUGCAGUCGCUUUCGCAGGCAGAGUAAACGAACAACAUCUGCGGCAACCACUGCGUAAACGAACGCACUCUACUUGUGCUGUUAGGGAUAUGUGCAUGCGGUGUUUGUCUCUUUCGACUAUCUAAAGAACAUGGUGGUUGUAUGACGCGAGCAUCAUUCUAAAA